AAAUUUUCGCAAAAUCCCGUCCUGUUCCUAAGUACUAGUGCCGCAGGAGUGACUAGAUUGGGCUAGAAAUUACCGCGUCUCCUGCUGCUCAAGUGCUUAUCAAUGGUUCGGGACGCACGACAAUGUAUACU
rnacentral:pre_miRNA from 12 species